UGCCAGCAGCCGCGGUAAUACGAGGGGUGCAAGCGUUAAUCGGAAUUACUGGGCGUAAAGCGUACGUAGGCGGUUUGUUAAGCAAGAUGUGAAAGCCCAGGGCUCAACCUUGGAACUGCAUUUUGAACUGGCAAACUAGAGUACUGUAGAGGGUGGUGGAAUUUCCAGUGUAGCGGUGAAAUGCGUAGAGAUUGGAAGGAACAUCAGUGGCGAAGGCGGCCACCUGGACAGAUACUGACGCUGAGGUACGAAAGCGUGGGGAGCGAACAGGAUUAGAUA
rnacentral:rRNA from 1 species